AGCUCCAAUAGCGUAUAUUAAAGUUGUUGCAGUUAGAACGCUCGUAGUCGGAUUUCGGUGUGGGACGACCGGUCUGCCGAUGGGUAUGCACUGGUCGGCUUACACUUCCUUCCGGAGACCGUGCCUACUCUUAACUGAGCGGGGGCGGGAGACGGAACUUUUACUUUGAAAAAAUCAGAGUGUUUCAAGCAGGCAGCUCGCUCUUGCAUGGAUUAGCAUGGGAUAAUGAAAUAGGACUUUGGUGCUAUUUUGUUGGUUUCGAACACCGAAGUAAUGAUGAGAAGGGACAGUCAGGGGCACUCGUAUUCCGCCGAGAGAGGUGAAAUUCUCAGACCAGCGGAAGACGAACCACUGCGAAAGCAUUUGCCAGGGAUGUUUUCACUG
rnacentral:rRNA from 1 species